rnacentral:rRNA from 1 species
GACGAACGCUGGCGGCGUGCUUAACACAUGCAAGUCGAACGAAGUGGCGAACGGGUGAGUAACGCGUAAUCAACCUGCCCUUCAGUGGGGGUAACCAGUUGGAAACGACGCCUAAUACCGCAUACUGAAGACGGAGAUUGCGUCUGAUUAGCUAGUUGGAGCGGUAACGGCCCACCAAGGCGAAGCUCAGUAGCCGGUCUGAGGAGAUGAACGGGCAAAUUGGGACUUGAACACGGCCCAGACCCCUACGGGGUGCAGCACGUGGGAAACUUUCGCAAUUGACGAAAGUCUGACGGAGCAACGCCUCGGGAGUGAUGACGGGCUUCGGGUUGUAAAGCUCUGUUAAGCGGGACGCGGUACCGGAAUAGAAAGCCACGGCUAACUACGUGCCAGCAGCCGCGGUAAUAC